GGGUAGGUACGGAAGUAGACAAACCGGACUCUCUGUAAAAGAGUCGGCUUCGGCCUUCGCAGGUGCAAAUCCUGCCCUGCCCA
rnacentral:tRNA from 1 species